UUUCUUUUCUUUUUUCUUUUUUUCACUGAAAGACUUCUUUUAUUUAUUUAUUUUUCCACUGUACAGCAUGGGGACCAAAUUACACAUACACGUAUACAUAUUUUUUUCUCCCAUUGUUGUGUUCUGAUGUUAGUAUCUAGACAUAGUUCUCAAUGCUACACAGCGGGAUCUCACUGUAAAUCCAUUCCAAGAGCAAUAGUUUGCAUCUGUUAACCCCAAGCUCCCGAUCCCUCCUGCUCCCUCCCUCCCCCCCACCCCCGCAGCCACAUGUCUAUGAUUUUCUUUUCUGUGGAAAUGUUCAUUUAUGCUGUAUAUUAGAUUCCAGUUGUAAGUGAUAUCAUAUGGUAUUUGUCUUUCUCUUUCUGACUUAUUUCAGUCAGUAUGAGAGUCUCUAUUUCCAUCCAUGUUGCUGCAAAUGGCAUUAUGUCAUUCUUUUUUACGGCUGAGUAGUAUUCCUAAUUUUACUUCCUCUGCAUCUCAGAAGCUUAGCAGGCCUAGUCCAUAAUCGGCAUUAAAUAAAUGUAUUUUGAAUGAGUGGAUGGGUAAAGGAGACUGAUUCUUUAGGAAGUCACCUCUUUCUCUGAGAAGUCACAUUCCCUGGAACUGACAGCAGACCCUGACAACAUACAUUUCUGCUUUUUUAAAUUACAGUUGAUUUACAAUGUUGUGCCAAUUUCUGCUGGGCAGCAAAGUGACCCAGUCUUAUACACAUUAUUUUUCUCAUGUUGUCUUCCAUCGUGGUCUCUCCACAAGAGAUUGGAUAGAGUUGCCUGUGCUAUACAGUAGGACCUCCUUGCUUACCCAUUCUAAAUGGAAUAGUUUGCAUCUCUAACCCUAAACUCCCCAUCCAUCCCACUCCCUCCUCCCGCCCCCUUGGCACCCACAAGUCUGUGCUCCAUGUCUGUGAGUCUGUUUCCAUUUUGUAGAUAGGUUUGUUUGUGCCAUAUUUGAGAUUCCACAUAUUAGUGCUAUCAUACGGUAUUUGUCUUUCUCCUUCUGACUUACUUCACUUAGUGUGAGAAUCUCUAGUUGCAUCCACAUAUAAUUCUGAUUCUGCAUGGCUAGGAUUCCUUUGCCCUUAUUGCAUGGAACCUAGAUUUUGCUUUGGGGAACCACUCGUUCCCAAUUGGUGGCAGUUUUAUAGGAGACUGUAAACAGCCACAUACUUCCAAAGAAGGGGAGCAUGUGAUCAAACACAGGUUAACCUUGCUCUUCUUCCCAGAGUUGAAUCUUGAGUGGGGUGACACAAAGAUGGAAAAUAGUAUGGGCUAACUCACCCUCUUUGUAACACUCAGAGAAAGCUAUCCAAUAGGACUCACUGUCUGGGUUCCCAGAAGUGGCUUUUAAGUUUUCCCUUCAUUUCUCUGAGCUUCCCACUAUCCCUCCAACUAAUUACUUAUUUUGCAGGAUCUCCAUAGUUAGUUUCUAUUGCCUGCCACCAAAGAACUCUGAGUGAUAAAAGAAGAUUGGGAUGUAGAUGUUUAAGCAGAGACCCACCUGCAGCACAGAGGCUCUGGGAAGCUGAUGGCCCCUUCAUGGGCUGUGCUGGUGUGAGAUGCACCAGGAAGCUGGCCUCAGCCUUGUAGUUGGUAGACCAGGUCUCUCCUCUGGGACAUGCAUAAUUGGAAUGGUGCUGCCAGAGUCUGAGGCCAGCCAAGCAGCCUGUGAUUGUAGGAACAUUAAUUUGUCUCUAGAAAGAGGAAAACAUGCUUUAGUAAAUUUGAAAGGUAAACAGUAGAUGGCAGAAUGUUAUGUAAUACUCUCCAAUGAAUGUGUUGGGUCAAAUUCUUUGUAACUGGUAAAAAGAAACAAUUAUAUCAUCAGAAAUUGUCUUCACCAAGAGUGCGACGUGUUUACGUGUGCUUAAAGCACACCAGCCUCACAGGCCCGUAUGGGGCUGAAUUCAGUGGGACAGGCACUUAACAGUAGGAGCUGCAACAUCCUGGAGUCUCCUAGGGCUGAAGAUCCCAGGCUGGGAUUCGGGGGUUUGUUAUGGUCCACCCUGGUAUUGGACAGAAUUUCCUAUAAGUUCAAUCACCAUUUGUGGUGUGCUGUCUGUGCUAGGCACUGUGCAGAUGUGGAAAAACUUUGGGUGGGUAGGAGGUAUGAUGACCCCAAUAAUUCAUGCCUCUGUAUAAUCCCCUUCCUUGAGUUUGGGUAGGACCUGUGACUUGAGUCUAACUAACACAUUAAAACAAAAGUAAUGUAAUGAGGUAUCACUCCCUUGAUUACAUUUGUAUAUAUACAUACUAUGUGUAUAUAUGUAUUUCUAUAUUAUAUAUGUAUGUAUGCAUAUGUCAUAAGCACAUAUUAUAUAUACCAUUAUACCAUUAUAUAUACUAUAUAUACUUGUAAGUAUAUAUACCUAUACUUUUUAGAUUUUUUACAUUAAAGUUGUAGUUGAUUUAUAGUGUUAUGCCAAUUUCUGCUCUACAGCAUAGAGACCCUGUCAUGCAUAGAUAUACAUUCUUUUUCUCACAUCAUCCCCCAUCAUCUUCUGUCCCAAGAGACUGGAUAUAGUUUCUUGUGCUGUACAACAGGACCUCAUUGCUUAUCCAUUCUAAAUGUAAUAGUUUGCAUCUACUAACCCCAAACUCCAAGUCCAUCCCACUCCCUCCCCCUUUCCUUGGAGACAAGUGUGUUCUCCAUAUUAACUGUAUUUAUAAUACUGUUAUUAUGUAAUACAUAUAUAAUAACGUGUAUGUGUGCAUAUAUACAUAUAAAUAUAUGUAUGUAUAUACAUUUAAUUAUCAUUAUUUACAAUAGUAUCAUUCUGUAAAUUUGCCAUAUUUUAUAGAUAUAUAUGUGCAUACAACAUAUACACACAUAGAUGUACAAUAUAUACACAUAUGUAUAUACGUGUAUCUUUUCUAUAAGAAUAAUGGAACAGUGGAUCUGUAUUCACUACUUCAGUGUUCCCAGUGAAUACAGGUGUAUUACAUAUUUUCCUCAUAAUAGAUAAUAAUCUUAAAUCUGGAAAACAGCUUAUCCUGGUAGAUUCUCUUUUCCCUAUUUUUGCAAAGGAGAAAAUGGGGUUCAGAAGUGAUAAGUGACUUGCCUGAGGCCACCCUGUAACAGGUGCCACAGCUGAGAUUUAAACCCCAUCUCCCUGGCCUCAAAGCUUUAGCUUUUUGCAUUGCUCUUAACUGCCCUCUCCUGUCCCCAGCCUCUGGUCCUCUCUGUAGGAGAGCUGAAACAAGAAGCCAGAGCAUUGUCUUGGUCUACCUCAGCUGGACAUCUGUGUUGGGCGACUCAGAUUUUUCCUGCUAUGUGCAUUCUUGCACAAAUGUCACCAAAAGCACCUCGUAUAUUGAUUUUGAAGUUUCAAAUAUAUUUCAGCAAGGAGGCUAAUUCAAAAAUACAGAGCCCACCAGUAGUGAGGGUUGACCCAGUGUGUGGGUUACUGCUAAUAGAUGCCCAGAGAAAGUCCCCUUGUUGGUUUUGAAGAAGGGAGCUUCCAUAUUGUGUGAGGGGCCUCUGGAAAGUGCCACAUGGCAAGACAUUCCAGGAAACCUCUAGGAGUUGGAAGCAGCCAGCAAAACAGGGACCUUGGUCCCUACUUCUGUAAGGAUAUGGAUUCUGCUAACGUGCUGGGGGAGCCUGGAGUGGCUCUUUCCUCAGGUGAGCCUCUGUUGAGACACAGCCCCCACUGGCACCUGGAUUUCCACCUGACGAAGACCCUGAGUGUAGGACCCAGCUGAGCUCUGCCUGGACUCCUGAUCCAGAGAUACAAUAGGAAAAAAGGGUAUUGUUUGAAGGCUCUGAAUUUGUGAUGGUUUCGAGAAGCCAUGUGGGAAGUGAGUGCUUUACACAUAAGUACGUAGGGACCAGCAGCCCUGGUCGAAGAGCUCAUCUCCAAACCAUCCAGGUGUGAUACCUGGUUGUUCAGGAUCCAAGCCAGCAGGUAUGGUGGGGUCAUCAGGACAGGGACCCCACCAAGUGCAAGAGAGUCCUGAGGCCAGGCCAGAGGGAUGUGGCCAUCUGGCAGCUGAGAAAUAAGGAAGCGAGACCACUUGGAUGACCAGGUAACCAAUGGAGAUGCUAAAGCUAACACGAUGGCAUAAGCAGUCUACCAACUGAGAGGACAGAGUAGGUGAGGUUCUGAGAUUAAAGCAUUUAUGCAGUUUUGCAAAUGUCUAGACUCACUACAUAAUUCACUGUUUUCCCAGCUGCCCCUGACCCUAUGAUGUCACGUUAGGGUGUUUUAAGUGUCAGGAAGUUUUCAGAUCCUUGCAAAGGCAAUAUUCUGGUUGCCAUGGAAGAGAGCUUAGUGGAUGGACGUGGGUGUAAUGCAUCCUGGUGUGAAUUGUUAAGCACAUCAACCUUUCUGUUGCCAGCAGCCGCCUUAGAUGAUAAAUCUCCCUCCUGCCAGUGAGCACUUUAACCCUUUCCUGACGCUAAUUUCAUAAGUAGGAGAUGACCUCUUUGGGUAAUGAGGCUUGGAAACCAUCCAAAGAGUAGACUUUGCAUUAAGAAAAAAGGUUGUUCAGUUUACAAUUAGUGUGAUUCCAAUUUAUUUUAAAGAUAUGCAUGCAUACACACAUACACAUACAUACACACACAGUACAACAACAAAGACCAGAAGCUGCAUGGGAACAUGACAAUGGAUGUGCCUACGUGGAAGAUGUGGGGGUGAAUUUUAUUUACUUUUUCUCUUCCACUUAUUCCUUUUUGUUCUAUACACACUACCUGUGGAACAACAAAAGGUUAAAAAACUCAUUAUAUAUUGGGGGAAAGAGAAAGAUUCUUUCUUAGAGGUCAGGCCCUUCUUUCAAUCAUGCUGCCAUGGACAGUGGGUGGUGAUGGAUUUCAGUGUGGGUGUCUGCGAAGGAUGCAGCAAGCAUUCUGGUUUCAGAACUUUUGGUGCCAGUGAAAUGAAAUAAUAUUAAAUGUCACCUUCAGGGACUCCCUCCUUCCUGCUCUAUCCAAGCUGAAUUCCAUCGCUUUGAUUCCCUUUGCCUAGAAUGCCCCUUCCUACUUCUGCUCCCCCAACCUAGCUCAAGUGUUGCCUCUUUGUGGAAGCUCGCCUCUCCCAGAAGAGGCUGGGGCUUCCCUAGGGGACCCUCCUCUGUGCUGCCUUUGUCCCCCACCCACUAUACAUUGUAAUGGCCCUGGCAGUGCCUGCUUUCCCCAGUUAGAGUAGAUGUCUUUCUAUUGCCAGUGUUAUCACAGGGCUUGGGGCACAGCGUAAAGUGCUCCCUAAGUGAGAUAAAUUUGAGCUUAGCUCUCGUUUUUGCCUCAGAGUUGAAAAUGGCUCAGACAUAACCCUAAUAGGAUGGGAGCAAACAUUGUGUGGGACCAAAAUGGGUAGCCAGGGAUUUUUCAUUCUGCAUUUUUCACGCCCUAACUGGGGUGUGCAUGCAAGCCUGAGGGGUAAUGAUUUACCAACCUCAUUUUCCAAGACUGUUAUCCUUCAUCUUGACACACUAUUAAAAUCAUUUAAUUAUCACUAUUUUGCCUUGUCAUUACGGAGCCACUGUGAUCCAUUAUUUAGGGUUUUCAGGUUUUCUGCCUUCCACCUACACAGUGGAGGCAGAAGUUGAGAUUUCCUGCCUGGUUUGGGUUCCAUAGCUUCAUGAACACAGACUUCUGAGGGAAGUUAGCAGGAAUUUUGGGGGUGAUUAGCAGGAUCAGCUGGUCUCCAUUUUCACUAAGAGUUUGAGGAUACCUCAACUCAUUGCCUCAUUGUACUGUAGUUUUUCCUUUUCCACAAACCCUCUAAGAUCAUCACUGUCCUGGAAUUCAGGUUCUCUCUGCCUGGUGCACCCUUUCCAAGGGCUUUGCCAAACCAGUUUCUUGAAACGAUACAUCUCUUAGAGAUGUUGGCCCUGACGCUCAAUUAAAUUAGACCACUUUCCUCUCCUGCCAUUAUUAUCAUAUUACUCUGCUCUUCUGUUUGAUUUUCUAAUUGUAAAUGUAAUACCAUAUAUUUUUUCUUAAUAAAUCUUUAAAUACAGUAGUGUAUAAAAGUCACCCGAAAUAAUCCUACUACCUUGGCACUAAUGAUGGCAAUAUAUUGGGAGGUAUUUCCUUUCAGUUUUUUUCCUUUGCAUUUAAAUUUUUAUUUUGUUCUUCUUUUAUUUUUAAGUGUAUUAUAGAAAAUUUCAUACCCACUGGAAAGCAGAUAGGAAAGUAUAAGUACCAUCCAACUCCAACAAUCAUUACCCAUAUAUCAGGGCAAAUAGUUUUUAAGGAAAGUUCUCCAUAGAAAAACUAUGGAUGCCGCAGGUACGGCCCUCAAAAGACAAAAGCCAAAAGAAAAAGAAAAA
rnacentral:lncRNA from 1 species